ensembl:lncRNA
CGCACCUGUGUGGCUCGGUGAUGCUAUCUGCACUCGCUGACUGAUUCGUUUAAUUAGAAAUGUAUCUGUAAAAAGGGGAGGGGUUCACUCUGUAACCCAGCGGGAGAUUGGCUCCAUAAAUCUUUUCCAAAACCAGAUACUGGAUUCUGAUAAAGACCGGAUGUCCGCAGUCCGAUCCUGCCCACCCCUUACACAAAACCACAAACUUCAUCAUUCCACAUGGACACUGGAUCGGCCUAGUCCUCUCCUGCUUUAUGCUUUUAGCGCUAUGCGGCACAGUAAGCUUGCUAAUCUACAUCCAGGACUAUCCUGUAGUUAGGUGACCGUACCUGUAAAGUAUGAGGAGUAUAAAUUAUAAAUAUAAUAAAAUCAAUCCUAACAAAAGGAGGGGAAAACAGUCGUCUUUUUAUAUGUUUAUAUGUCUUAUAUAUUUCCGGUUACAUUUUUUUUCAAAAACCAAUUCUUGUAGUCUAAGAUGGUGUAUAAAUUGGGAUCUACAGUGGAGUCUAACAUGGAGUCCAAAAUUGUGUGUAAAGUGGAGUCCACGAUGGAGUCCACGACGGGGUCCAAAAUUGUGUGUAAAGUGGGGUCCAAAAUGGGGUCCAAGAUUGUGUGUAAAGUGGAGUCCAAGAUGGAGUCCAAGAUUGUGUGUAAAGUGGAGUCCAAAAUGGGGUCCAAGAUGGAGUCCAAGAUGGGGUCCAAGAUUGUGUGUAAAGUGGAGUCCAAAAUGGGGUCCAAGAUGGGGUCCAAGAUUGUGUGUAAAGUGGAGUCCAAGAUUGUGUGUAAAGUGGAGUCCAAGAUUGUGUGUAAAGUGGAGUCCAAGAUUGUGUGUAAAGUGGAGUCCAAGAUGGAAUCCAAGCCUAUAUGUCUAAAUGAUCUUUAGAGGAUCUAAUAUUCGAUCUAUUUCACCACCAGCUGGUCUGAUUUUAAACGGUUAAUCGAUAUCGUGAUCCUGUGAACCUGUGAUGUUUUUAGACCACGUACGUAUCAUACAGUGAAAAUUUCAAAUUUUAUUCGGGAGAUGUCCAAAUUAAACUGGAGAGCAGUUCAGCUCCUGGAGCCGCUGAGCUUGUGUAGAUAUCGAGAGAGGGUAAAUUGGCAUGGUUUGGCUUUUGACAUGAACGCGUUUUAAGAGAUGAUUGAGAACUCCAUGCUACGGCAGCUAAAGUUCCUAUGGAAAUGCUGACACAGACCUGGCGUCAUUGCCUCACUAAUGAAGCUGACCUUUUUAAUCCCCCUGUAUUCACUCUCUCAAUCUCAGUCAGUCACACACACAAACCUGAAGAUAAACUAAUGAGACUGACCUUUCCUUCUCUGCCUAGGCAUGUGUUGCUUGGCUGAUGUGUAUAUUUUUGUGUGUGUGGAGUUGGAGACACCUGCUGAUUGGCUCCCAACAGACGCAGCUCCAUUAGGAGCAUGUCGCUCAAUUGUGGCACAAAUACACAGCGUG